UACGUAGGGUGCAAGCGUUAAUCGGAAUUACUGGGCGUAAAGCGUGCGCAGGCGGUUCGCUAAUACCGAUGUGAAAUCCCCGGGCUUAACCUGGGAACUGCAUUGGUGACUGGCGGGCUAGAGUAUGGCAGAGGGGGGUAGAAUUCCACGUGUAGCAGUGAAAUGCGUAGAUAUGUGGAGGAAUACCGAUGGCGAAGGCAGCCCCCUGGGCCAAUACUGACGCUCAUGCACGAAAGCGUGGGGAGCAAACAGG
rnacentral:rRNA from 1 species